UUACAGGUUGGCCGGCGGCCCGCCGAGUG
rnacentral:sRNA from 1 species